GUCAUCUCCUUGGGGCUUCUGGGGAAAAUCUACUCUGCCCUCUCCAAACUGCCAGUGACAUCUGAGCACUACGUGGAGCUGGAUCUGCAGAAUUCCCCUUUCCCAAGCACCUUCAUCGACUGGCUCCUUCAGACUGCAGGUGUCAAUCCCAGGAUCAAUCCAUAGCUGCAGGACUGACAGAGCCCUGGGCAACGCUUUGAACUGAUCAGAGUGAAUGCUAUCCUGCCUUGUAAUCUCCAAGUGGAUUUGGACGUGCUGCAUUGUGGGUGAGGUGGAUUUGAGGCAGAUUCACACCCUUCUGUUACUCCUUACAAUAAAAAUGAUUUU